ACAUCUGUGACCUCGUCAACACUUUUCGUUUUUGUGUCAGGGGAAAGCCAUACUGCUGCUAAGAACAAUGAUGCACACACAAGCAUACACAAACACAUGUGCAUGUAAGGAUACACAUCUUAGAAGAAGAGAAUGGAGUAAGUGGAGCAAGGGCACACACGAAAGCGAAAAGU